AGUGAACGCUGGCGGUAGGCCUAACACAUGCAAGUCGAACGGCAGCACAGUAAGAGCUUGCUCUUACGGGUGGCGAGUGGCGGACGGGUGAGGAAUACAUCGGAAUCUACUUUUUCGUGGGGGAUAACGUAGGGAAACUUACGCUAAUACCGCAUACGACCUACGGGUGAAAGCAGGGGAUCUUCGGACCUUGCGCGAUUGAAUGAGCCGAUGUCGGAUUAGCUAGUUGGCGGGGUAAAGGCCCACCAAGGCGACGAUCCGUAGCUGGUCUGAGAGGAUGAUCAGCCACACUGGAACUGAGACACGGUCCAUACUCCUACGGGAGGCAGCAGUGGGGAAUAUUGGACAAUGGGGGCAAGCCUGAUCCAGCCAUACCGCGUGGGUGAAGAAGGCCUUCGGGUUGUAAAGCCCUUUUGUUGGGAAAGAAAAGCAGCAGGUUAAUACCCCGCUGUUCUGACGGUACCCAAAGAAUAAGCACCGGCUAACUUCGUG
rnacentral:rRNA from 1 species